rnacentral:rRNA from 1 species
GGCAGCGGGGGAAAGCUUGCUUUCCUGCCGGCGAGUGGCGAACGGGUGAGUAAUACAUCGGAACGUGCCCUGUAGUGGGGGAUAACUAGUCGAAAGAUUAGCUAAUACCGCAUACGACCUGAGGGUGAAAGUGGGGGACCGUAAGGCCUCAUGCUAUAGGAGCGGCCGAUGUCUGAUUAGCUAGUUGGUGGGGUAAAGGCCUACCAAGGCGACGAUCAGUAGCUGGUCUGAGAGGACGAUCAGCCACACUGGGACUGAGACACGGCCCAGACUCCUACGGGAGGCAGCAGUGGGGAAUUUUGGACAAUGGGCGAAAGCCUGAUCCAGCAAUGCCGCGUGUGUGAAGAAGGCCUUCGGGUUGUAAAGCACUUUUGUCCGGAAAGAAAUGGCUCUGGUUAAUACCCGGAGUCGA